rnacentral:tRNA from 1 species
GUGUGUAUAGUUCAGUGGUCGAGUGCAUGCCUAGCACUCAUUAGAUCCUGGGUUCAAUCCCCAGUACUUCCA